ACAUGUUCAGAGUUCUGCAGUCCCAAGACAGAGGCUGCACUGCUGCUCUCCCUCAGUGUACUGAGGUGCAUGAGGUGCAGGGGGCUGGGAGAUGAAGGGAGUUAAACCAGGAAGGUGUCAUCAAGGAGUAGAGUAGAGCAAGUUAAGGGUUUCCAGUGAAUUCUUAUAACUGAUGGUGACAAGGUUUUGAUACAGAAGGAGAAAAACUCAGAUGGAAAACACUCUCCUCCAGAGGUAAUUCUCAUCAUUGGGAUGGCAAUUUAAAUGAGCUCAGGCUUUAGAAUAAUAAUAUUCCUAGUUCUGUGAGAGCCAAAUGAAGGGCAAAACAAAGAUAAUGAUCUUCAAAAGAGGAAGAGA